AAGGAUAAGGGACUGCACCCUUCGCAAACAACACGGCAUAUGGACAUGCACUCACAUGCAAAGAAUUUACAUCGGCUGAGCAGAUUUCCAGGCAGUCGGUUUAAGAUGAUGUAAACCCACAGAAAUGCAAGAUGAUUUGAACUGCGCCACAUCCAUGACAGUUGGUCGGCAGAGAUAUUAGCCAAUGAUGGUAGAAGAUACUUACGUGAAAAUGUUCGGCAGCUACCUGGAAACUGAAGGUCAUGGAGCAGAAUUCUUUGCAUUGGAAGGGAUCACUCACCUAGCUGGAGUUUGGGAAUAUCUGAAGACCAUGAAGAGAUGACCUGGAAGGCCUAGUGAGAAUAGAAGGGACUGCAGCCUUUGGGAAACUGUAAGUGUGGGAUUUCUUAUCAUGAAGCAGUCUCAACAGAUGACAAAGUUGAUACUAGGUUUUGCAAACCUCUGCUGAUUCCUGUUUAUGUGUGCACAGCACAUACUCUCAAUUGUUGCAAAACAAUUUUUGCACUGGAUUAUAAUCCACAUUGGAAAGACAAAUGGGGACUGAUCAUUGCAUUCACAAAUAUAUGUGUAUAGACUGCUGGAGAGACUGUUGCUCCCUAGCACCAGAGAAAGGCCUGUAGAAAAACAUAAAUCAUGUACCAACAAAUGUAGAGAAAGGGGGAGAAAAAUGCAUGUAAUAUUUUAUUGUAGUACUGAGCCACAUUUCCGCAGCAGAGUUCCUUCUUUCAGCUUAAACGGGCCAUUACUAUAUUACAGUGCAAACUCUAGAGAUUUUCAAGGGAAAAUAAAGGGGCAUUGUCAUCGUAUUGUCCUUCACUAACAAAAGUUACCUCCACUGUUUAAAUAAUAUCCUUGGUCUUUGGCUCCAUGCAUUAUUUAAUAAUCUUAGAAACUUCUGUGACCUUUAAGCAAUAGUAAACUGUGAUUGCUUGACAAACAGGUCAAUGUUUGCAUAAUAGUUGUGUCUUUGGAGAUACAAAAAUAUUCAUCAGAAUGCCUUGACUGGCUUCCCUCACCCUUCAUUUCUUUGGCAGUUCUCCAGCAGUAUUGCCCUCUGUUAAACAUUAUUCCACUUCAAGGGUAUUUGCAGGACUAGGAAGCAGGCAGUGUGUUAUAGCACUUGAAAAUGCAGGGUGGGGGAGGUUGUAUGUCUCUGAGGCAUGCUUACCAAUGCACACGCAUAUAUGCCAUGAGUAGCUGUUACCUUUGGUAGAAAGUAUGUGUUGAAAAAAGUCAGUAAAAUGAUGGGGUAGAUACGUUAGAUUUAUUCCUGGUUAUCAUGCACUUUGUUUUAGAAGGAUGACAAACUGGUAUUUUCUGUUUGAAGGGCAUACUUGAAAGCAAGGAACUGGGUUUGAACUUCUGGUUUUAUUGUUAGCAGUGUUGGUUGCAGGGCCAGUUAAGCAAACAUGUGGGCUCCUGCAUGCUCCUUAGCAAUACUUAAAGGGAAAGUUGUAUUGACACAUUCUCUAUUACUUAAGUUUGAAUUAGAGGGAUCAUAAAAGUUAGAAGUGGUCUCAGAGAAGAAUAUUGAAGAAUGCAGUAACUUAGUUCCGUGGCAUUUUAUAUGAAAGCGUGUGUAGUUUCACCGUCAACUGCUUGAUGUUAAAUGCCUCUAUGGUAUCUAUUUCCCACUGGAAGGUAACCGUGCCCUCUGCAUAGCCAUAUGAGAACAGAGUAAUACCAAUUUCACUUAAGUAAACGUUUUUUUUUUUUUCCACUGCAAUGCAGUACGCAUACACAAGUGUAAAUGCAAACAUAUCUGUAGUCAGUAUAUGUAUCGGUUUGUAUCCUCAGUUGCAGCUGAUACUGUACUCCAAAUACGAUGAGCAUCAGAAGAAUGCAAGAAAUCAGCAUCAGAUGAAUGCAAGAAAUCAGCAUCAGAAUGCAAGAAAACAGAAAGGAUAAGAAGAUCAUUUUGAGAAGUUUUCAAGGAGACAACUAGAAAAUGUUGAUUUCAAAGUUAUAGUGUAAUUCGAGUCAAUGUAUGAUGGAGCAAUGUGGAAAUUAUUCCAGCUUGACGAGAUGCAAGACCUUAUAAGUAACUCUACAAAAAUUAGAAUUAUUGGACGAGAAAAGCACCUCAAUGAUACAUUGCACUUCAGUGGCUUCAAGGGUCCCUGGAUGAAGCCAUUUAGCACUUGGUAUGUUUUGGAAACUUAGGUAUGGAGCAUUCCUGAAAGAGUCUGAACUCAGAUGCCAGACAGGUCCCUCAUGUUUCCAGCUUCUCUGAGUCUACAUAGUUUGGCAAUAAAUGGGGAACUGAGAGUGGCUCUGAUAACAGAACAAGUUCAGAAACUUAACGUUCUCUCAGACCUGAAACCAUGACAACUGACAUUGCUGACAUCCUUUUCACAAGUCCUAUUGCACUCUGUUAUCUUCAGCUUCUAACUCUGCUUUGAGAGAAACGUCUUUAUUUGAGGAGCUUAAAACAGCCUCAGGUCUUCAGGACUGUGGCCCUGUUUUCCAACGAGGAUGUGGGAGCUGUAAGGGCCAGUGAGAGACUUACUGCUAAUGGACACAUUACCUUUACAAUCCUGGAGUAUAUUGUUAUUCAGAUAACAGGAAAUACUCAUCAAUACUGCUUAAGGUCUGAAAAAGUAAAAAGGACAACCUAGCUGAUGUAACUACUCAAUUACAGUUAAGAUUUAGAUACAUUAACACAGGAAACAUUAAUUAAUGUGACUUCACUGACAGUGUCUUCAAGCUUUAACAAUGACUUCUAGCUGCUAAUGUUAUAGUUUUACAAGAUGUUAAUGCAAUUCUAAACAUUUUUUGAAGAAUAAGGCAGCUUGAGAGGAAGGGUGUAAAAUCUUUGAUUCUCUUCACCUUAAUAUUUAAAGAAUAAAACCAUUCUGGAAUAACAUCUUCAGAAGAGAACCCUCAAAUAUACAGACAAUCUUAUAAAACACAGAGUUUAUGGUAAAAAAUUAUGGAAAUAUAGAAAAUCAAGUCUGACAGGGAAAACAUGUUUGUGAACAGUUGGAACUGUUCUCCUGAGUGUCACUUUUAAUGAUAGUUCAUAGUCAUUGAGGCCAUUAAGAUUGGAAAAGACCUCCAAGAUCAAGCACAACCAUCCACCUACCACCAAUAUUUCCUCACUAAACCAUGUUCCUCAGUACAACAUCUAAACAUUUCUUGAACACCUCCAUGGACAGUGACUCCACCACCACCCUGGGCAGCCCAUUCCAGUGCCUGAUCACUCUUUCAGAGAAGAAAUUUUCCCUAAUAUCCAACGUGAAUCUCCCCUGGCGCAACUCCAGUUCUCUCCCCAAUCCCACUUGGAAGAGGAACAGUGAAUGAAUGACUGUGUGGUGCUUUGCCACUUGCUGGGUUAAACCACAACAGUAAGGCAAUCUUUUAAUUCAAUAUAUGCAACACUUAGUGCAGUAAGAUCUUGUUUAAUGGAUCUUUGGCAUUAUGUUACCAUCAUUUUUCUUACUGAAAUUUAACUUGAUCAAAUUCAUAGUGAAGUGGAAUGAAAUCUUCCCAGCUCACAAAACAUUACAGUAGUUAGAACAACUGCAGUUCUCAUCUGUUACAUUCUAGCCUUAUACCAGUGUAUUAAUGUAAAGGUAUAUUUCCCUAUAAGAUGAACCUCAAGAGGACCUAAAUUGCAUUUUUAUCAAAUAAUUUUGAAACAAUUGGAGGAUUGCUGGAAGAGUUCUUAAGUUACAGGAUGUUCUAUCCUCUCUUGCAGGCAGGUCAAGUCAUAGCACAUCCUGAAGCUGGUUCUGCUCUGACAGCAUGCCUGCAUGCCAUGCAAUGGCCUUGGUGGAGAAACAGUGCUGUGUCAGAAGGAGCUGUUGAUUCAUCAUGAUUAAAAAAUGAUCUUCAGAAUUCUUGGAAAAUGGAUGAAAUAUCCAUUAUAGAUUUUAUGAGUACUGUCUUUAACAUGAAAGCUUUUUAAAUUGACCAUGAUUCAUACUAAUAAAUGAAUAUACCUUAAAAAAAAAUAGAAUCUAGAAUACAGGACUGCAGAGAACAACUCAAAACCUACAGUGACUUUUUGAGUUACUCUGUGGUGAAGAAGUAAGUAGAGAAAGACAAGUUGAUGAAUUAGGCCAAAUACUUUGCACCUUUAACAUCUACUGAAAUGGAUGGGGGCUGAAGAUUCAUACAGCAUCUUGCACAUCAAGGCUUUGUUACCACUAUUAGGUCCUUUCCCAUUAUGAAAACUACCUACGAGACCAUCCUUGAUGUCUGAUGUGCCUUGAUGGGCAGAACUGGAAGAGGGACAGAACUGUGCUUCUGACUCCUGUUUACUCCAUACUGCAUGAUUGUUACGUUCAUGAACCUGGUUUGGCAAUCACUGUAAAGGAGGAAAUAGUAAUCAUGUAAUUUCUUCAUAUACUGGAAAAAAAUACAAGAAAUAAGGCUGAGCUGUUUUUAAACAACCAAAGAACUAUUUGGAAAAUAAUUACAAAGCAAUAAAUGGGCAUACGUGAGGCAUAUAUAUCAAGACAGUGAAAGACAGGAAGUAGGAAAUGACAUUUUUCCUGGCCUAAUGUAUGAUAAUAAUUACAAGAAAUUGCAAUUUAGAGAAAACACAUUUCUUUUUGCUCCUAUCUGUAUUUUGGUAAAUUACUGUUCUCUGUUGUGACAGAAAAUUAAUUGCUACUGUGGCUGUUGAUUGCUUCUUAAUGACAUUGUAAUACACAGCUUUUUGGUUCAAUGUUAUUCUCAAUUCAAAUAUCUUUGUAAAUAUCAUAUACGGACUAUCUUGUAAGUAUGAUAUGAUUCAAGUUAUGCUUGUAAAACCUCCACUUAAAAUGAAUCUCCAUGUGACAGGUAA